UAAGCCGCCAAGGGGAGUUCGCGUAGAUAUCUACCUUGAGGGCGGGAAGCGGCAGGAAACUGCCGGGAAUACCGGAUAACAUCUCCGGAUCCAAGGAGUGAUUCCCCCGCGAGAUGACUCUGCGUCCUAUUCUUGCUUGUUGGUGUGGUAACGGCGCACCAAGGCGAGGAUGGGUACCGGGUGUGAGAGCAUGGCCCGGCUCACUGGGACUGACUGCUGCCCAGACACCUACGGGUGGCUGCAGACAAGAAUCUUCGGCAAUGGGCGAAAGCCUGACCGAGCGGCGCCGCGUGCGGGAUGAAGGCCCUCGGGUUGUAAACCGCUGUCAGUAAGGAGCAAAUCUCUUGGGGUUAUCCCCUUGAGUUGAGCGAUCUUCGCAGGAAGUACCGGCUAAGUUCGUGCCACCAACCGCGGUAAGACGAACCGGGCUAACGUUAUUCGGAAUCACUGGGCUUAAAGAGACCGUAGGCGGCCGUGUAGGUGGGAUGUGAAAGCCCUCGUCUCAACCGAGGAAUUGCGUUCCAAACCACAUGGAUUGAUGAGGAUAGAGGUGAGCGGAACUGAUGGUGGAGCGGUGAAAUGCGUUGAUAUCAUCUUGAACACUCUAGGCUAAGGCUGCUCACUGGGUCCUUUCUGACCCUGAGGGACGAAAGCUAGGGGAGCAAACGGGAUUAGAUACCCCGGUAGUCCUAGCUGUAAAUCAUGAGCACUAGAUCGAGGGGACUUCCACAUCUUCUCGGUCGUGGGGAGGUGUUCGUGCUCCUCCUGUCAGUAUAGUCGCAGGGCUCUCACUCAGCGGAUUGAGAUGUGCUCAAUUCGCGGUGCAGGAUGUAGCUUAUUCGGGCUACGCGAUAGCAUACCUAUAUUAGCAUGCUUAGCACUCCUGUAAACCACAAGGCCUUCUGGGAGCCUUCCAUCGUGCUGCAUGACUGUCGUCUACUCUGUCAUGAGAUGU
rnacentral:rRNA from 1 species